AUAUUAUCCAACAACAAUUCCCAUAAUUUAAAAAGACCUACCUACUAAAGUUGUUGUUGAUCCCAAAUUCCCAAGUGGGGUAAAGGUCUGUAUUACUUUAAAUGCUCGGGCUGGCAUCUUAAGUGAAGCCAUAUACAACCACACAGCUACAUUUAUCUAAAGUGUGGCUAGUCUCUGAACACCUCGAACAUUUUGCUUUCCAUCUUGCCUUCUUCUACGCUUCACACACUAUCAAGUAUGAGUAACCUUCCGUCCAGGCCAGAUGUAUUUACACGGUUAACGCGACGAUUUGUGAAGCAGAAUCGCCGGCGGCGACAGAUGGCUCCGUUAGGUGAAGUUGGGAACUAUCUUGGUGCCCAGGAUGCAAUACCUUUUGGGAAUGUGCCCGUUUUGCCGGUGGAUAACCCGGUUCUCCUAAGUCAUCAUCUCGGCCAGUCCGAGGGGGUUUUGAGCAGGGGCUCAGUCACGGACCUGUCUCACUUAAAGGGGAUCCUCAGGCGAAGACAGCUCUACUGCAGAACUGGUUUUCACUUAGAGAUUUUUCCUAACGGGACUAUCCAGGGAACAAGACAAGAUCACAGCCGAUUCGGUAUUCUGGAAUUCAUUAGUAUAGCAGUGAGUCUGGUCAGCAUUCGUGGUGUCGACAGCGGACUCUACCUUGGAAUGAAUGAGAAAGGAGAGCUAUAUGGAUCGGAGAAACUAACCGCAGAGUGUGUUUUCCGAGAGCAGUUUGAAGAAAACUGGUAUAACACCUACUCAUCGAAUCUAUAUAAGCAUGUGGACACUGGAAGACGGUACUUUGUGGCAUUAAACAAAGAUGGAACCCCAAGGGAAGGGACUAGGACUAAAAGGCAUCAAAAAUUCACUCAUUUUUUACCAAGACCGGUGGACCCUGACAAAGUACCUGAAUUAUACAAGGAUAUUUUAAGCCAAAGUUGAUGAAGAGACAAUCGUAUAGUUCGGACCACUGAAAAAGCAACCACUAUAAUGGGUUCUAGUGGUGGGUUCUGAACGAUUAGCUGUGUCGUCAUGCCAGCACUACUGUUGCCAUAGUUUACCGCAUGCAUUGUGUAUGGAGGCUUGGAUGGGACACGCUGAUUUUGCGCUGCACUUACAGUUUGUCCUCUCAGAGAUGCGGCAAGCACUGCAAUGGCUGCUGGAAAACAACUGCUUGGAAAUAAAGCAAUCAUCUGCUAGGGAAAACAACAUUCAUGUCAUAGUUCUAUAACACAUUGGCGCACCACAGUCAUAAAUUAGAAGCUUCAGCCAGACCCUGCAAUGCACACUUUGAUGGGAUCAACUGAACAGUGAUGACUUCUAUCGUGGGGAGUGUAGCAGCCUCCUGUUUAAUGCACAAUGUGCUAUACCAUGUCCUCAUCAAAGUCAAAACUGGAAUGUUUUGCAGUAAUUCCACGAGCUCCAAUUUAUACUUAACUUCACUUGAAAGCUGUUGAUGGCAAGUGAUGGAAGUUGUCUAAAUCACACUUUGAAAACGGCAAGUACAUUUACAACUGAGCGCUUUAAGGCUACCUGCUAACUUUUGCAAGCUGAACUGGCAUGUCGGUGGGCGUUCCUAUUGAAACUGAGUUUUUACGUUAUAUCCUGUAACACAACAUUUGUGAGGCUUUGCAUUAAGAGUUUAGAGUUUAGAGUUUAUGGAAACAGGUCCUUCGGCCCAUCGAGUCCAUGCUGACCAUCGAUCACCCGUUCACCCUAGUUCUCUGUUCUCUCGCUUUUGCGUCCUUUACACUAGGGGAAAUUUAUGGAAGCCAAUUAACCUACAAACCUGCCUGUCUUUGGAAUGUGGGAGCAAACCGGAGCCAUUGGAGGAAACCCUCGCGACCACGGGGAGAACACACAAACUCUGCACGGACAGCAUCGGAGGUCAGGAUCGAACCUGGGCUCUGGCGCUGUGAUGCAGCAGCCAUACCGCUGGACCACUGUGCCCGCCCCCUACUUCAAAAUGGCAUCAAUGAACACUCAUUAAGUUUGCAUCUCAAGAGUUUAAUACUGAAGUAGUGGAAUUUCACCAAUAAACUGUCGUAUAUAACAACUGAAGGCUAUUUAAAAAUGUUUUUUGACGCAUUGGUAUGAUUACAGAUACAAAUAUUAUAUGUUUGCACAAUUGUCUUGGUGGUCGCAGAAUAAUGCCACAAAAAAAACAGAUCUCUCUAAAGUUGUGAGAUAGUGCCCUGACCAAUGCAAUGGUCUGAGGAUGAGCUUACGUUCCUAAUACAUUAACUGAGCAAAAGUUAUGUUUGUGAUUAGUUCUGUCAAGGGUGAACUUUUCAACAUUCUCCCAACUCUAAUUUAAAAUGCAUGAGCAUUUUUUCAGCACAUCUUUCCAGCACAGGACGGUCGAUGAAAUUGUGAUGAAAUGUGAACCUAUAAUUUUUCUGCCAUUCUAAGUAAAAAAAUGCCUAGUUCAAAAAACAAAUUCCCCUUUGGUAGUGACAAAGAGGAUACACAAUUUCAAGAAAAGCACCUGAUGUUUGUGUUAAAAUGAAUAUGCAUGGCAAGUAGACAUAUAGAUGUGAAAAUCACUUUAAAACAUUAGUCAAGAAUUACGUUCUUUCAGCAGAAUGUAUAUGUAUGGGAGUUGUGGGCAAUUGGAUUUUGCUGUUUGGAUUCCCACAAGUUAACAUCUAUGGUGUCCAUCGAGCUAUGCAGAAAUGGCAUGCUUUUACAUUUUCCUCUGAGUUUUAUGAGCAAAACAUUGAUUAAAAUGGGCUGGAGCUCAAAAGCAGCAGUUUUUUUAUGGACAGAUGGAUGAUUUCACAGUCGUCAACCAUAAUAAGUCAUCCCAGUGAAAAUAAAGGCAAUAAUACACACAUAUGAAUCAUCGCCAAAUGGUCUGCGCCUCAUUGCAGGUCAAGACUACAACCAUCUCAUCACAUUAGUCAUAUGUGUUAUUUCUCAGCUGGUCUGUCGUACAGCUAGCUCCCCCACAGAGGCAAGAAUUAAAGUGAGGCUUCUGCCGAGGGCUGUAAGGUCUGGAGUUGGAGGAUUCCGAUGACCUUUUAAGACCUUUGCAUUGACACAUAAUCUGAUGAGAUGGUUGGCAGAAGCGUGAAGCAGUCAGCAGCUCCCCAGGGCUCAGUUCCCCCCUCCCCCCCCCCCCCCCCCCCCCCCCAACUCAACAGCAUCAGAUGUGAGAAGCUUAUGAAAAGAAGGAUUCCACAAGGGAGACCUGAAGUGCCAAUCCAUAGUCUCGAAUGGACCCGAGGUUGACUUCUGCUGUCAAGCUUCUGAAAGAAAGAUAAAAAAUGAGAUCAGGUGUUACUGCUAGUUUCUGUUUGUGGCUGAUAAAGAGAGGUGAGUUCGCAAACUGUGCAAAUGAAUAAUGCAGUUUGUGUAAAGGAAAGCUUUGUAUUGACCGAAUGUGUACCUCUUAACCUUCAGACUUUUAUCACAUGAAGAAUUCAGCCUGCUGUCAAUCCGUGAUGUACUGCCUUGGACCUGAUCUCUGAAUCCUUUCAUUUGAUAUCAUCCCUGGGAGGAAUCUUUAUAAUAUAUGUGGUGUGAAAUUGCCUACCUGAAAGCUGCCAGUCUUGGUCUCAGUAUAACAGGCCCAGAUAUCCCAGUGUCCUUGGAGCUAAUCACUGUAAGUUAUUAUUCUGAUGGGACAUAAUUGUCAGAGAAAAAUAUAGAUCACACAUACUUUCCAUCAUCUGCACAUCAAACAGGGGUAUAAAAAGGACACAACAUCACAGUGGGGUAUGAGGUAUAAAUUAUCUUUGGGUCUACAUAUACGCUUCUCAGACUGUAAACUUAGUAUAAGGUUGUUGGACUGCCUCUGCCUACAUGUCCUGUUACAAUUUCCUGAUUAACGAGAAUGGAUUUGAAUGUGUUCCCUCGUAUGGAAUUAAACCUCAUUUUAACAACCCCACAAAUAAUUCUAUGUUGGUGCACUGCACUGUAUGUUAGUUUAAAAAAAAAAUGAGAUUGACUUACUUUGUUGAUUUAAGUUGAAUCCAGAAAAUUGUUAUUAAAAUGGUGAAAUUAUUCCGUUAUAAAAUUUGACAAAAGAAGCCAGCCAGCAGUGAACUGCAUAUAUAUAUACUAAUAAUUUUAUUUGACAGUUUCUGAUUUGAUUAUUUUAAUCAUAAUUUUAAUGUUUAGUUUAGUUUAGAUGCAGCGUGGAAACAGGCCCUUUAGUUCACCGAGUCCACGCAGACUGUACACUGUACAAUCCUGUACACUGACAUUAUCCUACACUAGGAAAAAUUUACAAUUUUACCAAAGCCAAUUAAGCUACAAACCUGUACAUCUAUGGAG